AUCUAGCUGACGAGUCCCAAACAAGACGAAACACCCGUCCUGAAU
rnacentral:hammerhead_ribozyme from 1 species